rnacentral:rRNA from 1 species
UCGAGCGUCAUUACAACCGUCAAGCUCUGCUUGGUGUUGAGCCCGCCCCGGCCUGCCCGGGGCUCGCUUCAAAGUCAGUGGCGGCCGCCGUCCGACCUUCAGCGCAGUAAUGCUCGCCGCUGUUAGGGAAGGGUAGCAAGGGCCGUCAUACAACCCCCACACACAAGGUUGACCUCGGAUCAGGUAGGGAUACCCGCUGAACUUAAGCAUAUCAAUAAGCGGAGGAAAAGAAACCAACAGGGAUUGCCUCAGUAACGGCGAGUGAAGCGGCAACAGCUCAAAUUUGAAAGCUGGCUCCUUCGGGGCCCGCGUUGUAAUUUGUAGAGGAUGCUUCGGGCGCGGCACCGGUCUAAGUUCUCUGGAACGAGACGUCAUAGAGGGUGAGAAUCCCGUAUGUGACUGGCYGCCUGUGCCCAUGUGAAGCUCCUUCGACGAGUCGAGUUGUUUGGGAAUGCAGCUCAAAAUGGGAGGUGUACUCCUUCUAAAGCUAAAUAUUGGCCAGAGACCGAUAGCGCACAAGUAGAGUGAUCGAAAGAUGAAAAGCACUUUGGAAAGAGAGUUAAACAGUACGUGAAAUUGUUGAAAGGGAAGCGCUUGCAAUCAGACUUGCGCGGCGUCGAUCAGCCUGGGUUCUCCCUGGUGCACUCGGCGCCGCUCAGGCCAGCAUCAGUUUCGGCGGUGGGAUAAAGGCCUAGGGAACGUGGGUCCCCUCGGGGACCGUUAUAGCCCUAGGUGCAAUGCCGCCUGCCGGGACUGAGGACCGCGCU